UCCGGCUUAACGCCGGCAGUUUCCUUAGAGUUCCCACCAUUACGUGCUGGCAACUAAGGACGAGGGUUGCGCUCGUUGCGGGACUUAACCCAACAUCUCACGACACGAGCUGACGACAGCCGUGCAGCACCUGUCACCGGUCCAGCCGAGCUGAAGGACUCCCUUUCAGGAGUCCGCGACCGGGAUGUCAAGGCCUGGUAAGGUUCUUCGCGUUGCCUCGAAUUAAACCACAUGCUCCACCGCUUGUGCGGGUCCCCGUCAAUUCCUUUGAGUUUUAAUCUUGCGACCGUACUCCCCAGGCGGGAUGCUUAGUGCGUUAGCUUCGCCACUGGAACUUGAAGUCCCAACAGCUAGCAUCCAUCGUUUACGGCGUGGACUAC
rnacentral:misc_RNA from 1 species